rnacentral:lncRNA from 1 species
AGUUAGUCUUAAGGCACCACUGAGCCCAAGUCUUAGACAUCAUGGAUUGGGUGUGGACCUUGCUAUUCCUGAUGGCAGCUGCCCAAAGUGCCCAAGCACAGAUCCAGUUGGUGCAGUCUGGACCUGAGCUGAAGAAGCCUGGAGAGACAGUCAAGAUCUCCUGCAAGGCUUCUGGGUAUACCUUCACAGAAUAUCCAAUGCACUGGGUGAAGC